rnacentral:rRNA from 1 species
UACGAAGGGGGCUAGCGUUGCUCGGAAUCACUGGGCGUAAAGGGUGCGUAGGCGGGUCUUUAAGUCAGGGGUGAAAUCCUGGAGCUCAACUCCAGAACUGCCUUUGAUACUGAGGAUCUUGAGUUCGGGAGAGGUGAGUGGAACUGCGAGUGUAGAGGUGAAAUUCGUAGAUAUUCGCAAGAACACCAGUGGCGAAGGCGGCUCACUGGCCCGAUACUGACGCUGAGGCACGAAAGCGUGGGGAGCAAACAGGGAUUAGAUACCCCCGGUA